UUUAUGGAGAGUUUGAUCCUGGCUCAGGAUGAACGCUGGCGGCGUGCCUAAUACAUGCAAGUCGAGCGAACAGAUAAGGAGCUUGCUCCUUUGACGUUAGCGGCGGACGGGUGAGUAACACGUGGAUUUCUCCCACUAGGCCCUCAACCUAG
rnacentral:rRNA from 1 species